rnacentral:rRNA from 1 species
ACUCAAAUGAAUUGACGGGGGCCCGCACAAGCAGCGGAGCAUGUGGUUUAAUUCGAUGCAACGCGAAGAACCUUACCCAGGUUUGACAUGCACAUGAAAAACGUGGAAACACGUUCCCCGAAAGGCAUGUGCACAGGUGGUGCAUGGCUGUCGUCAGCUCGUGCCGUGAGGUGUUGGGUUAAGUCCCGCAACGAGCGCAACCCUUGUGAUUAGUUGUAUUUUUCUAAUCAGACUGCUGGGAGAAACCCAGAGGAAGGUGGGGAUGAGGUCAAGUCAUCAUGCCCUUUAUGCCUGGGGCUACACACAUGCUACAAUGCGCAGUACAACGGGCUUGCAACACUGCGAAGUGAAGCUAAUCCCAUAAAGCUGCGCUCAGUUCGGAUUGCAGGCUGCAACUCGCCUGCAUGAAGUCGGAGUUGCUAGUAACCGCGAGUCAGCAUAUCGCGGUGAAUAUGUUCCCGGGCCUUGUACACACCGCCCGU